rnacentral:rRNA from 1 species
AUUGAACGCUGGCGGCAGGCCUAACACAUGCAAGUCGAGCGGAGCGGCGGACGGGUGAGUAAUGCCUAGGAGUCUGCCUGGCAGUGGGGGAUAACGUCCGGAAACGGGCGCUAAUACCGCAUACAAUCCGAUGAACCUCGGUCGGAUUAGCUAGUUGGUGGGGUAAGGGCCCACCAAGUCGACGAUCCGUAACUGGUCUGAGUGGAUGAUCAGUCACACUGGAACUGAGACACGGGCCAGACUCCUACGGGAGGCAGCAGUGGUGAAUAUUGCACAAUGGGCGAAAGCCUGAUCCAGCCAUGCCGCGUGUGUGAAGAAGGUCUUCGGGUUGUAAAGCACUUUAAGUUGGGAGGCGUUACCAACAGAAUAAGCACCGGCUAACUUCGUGCCAGCAGCCGCGGUAAUAC